CUUUUGUGGAACACUCCGGCAGACCCGGAUUGAUCCUUUUCCGGUUGGCUGUCAGGGUAGAAGUUCGGUUUGCCUGGACAGUCCAUCCGCGUUUCCAUUGAACUUGCCAGGGCGGUAUUGGAUGGAGAAAUUGUAGGGUUGUAGUGCUAAGCUCCAUCUCAGCAAGCGUCCAUUGUCCCCAGCCACUCGGUUCAACCAUACCAG